rnacentral:tRNA from 1 species
UGCCCCCUAGUUUAAAGGCAGAACACCUGGUUCUGGCCCAGGCAGUUGGGGUUCGAAUCCCUGGGGGGCAGCCA